ACGGGAAGACAACACGAGGGUUGUGUUGUCUUCGGGUCAACAGAAAUUUGACCCGUAAAUGUCUAUAUCAGAAAUAUGGGUUCCUUUGUUACUACCUAAUUGUAAUUACCCAAAAAUAACACGGAUGAUUCCACACAACGUGCAUCGCUAGUACAAGAAAAGAUCGGAUCUCUACUUUCAUUGAAUUUUGGGUGUUUUGAACGUUGACAUAUAUACCCUUCUGUGAUUAUCCUACCUUUAUUUAUUAUUUAUUAGUUUGAAUAAUUCAUAGUUUCUGCUUUUUUAUCUCCAGGAUUAGGUAUAAUUUCCUAUCAAUAAGGUUUAUUGACCAUGAAUUCCAAAAACAAGUGUAAAACUAGUAAGAAGUUGGUGUAAGUGGUGUUCAUACAUGGUAGUGAAAGGAAGUAUAAA